rnacentral:tRNA from 1 species
GCCGAAGUGGCGGAAUGGCAUACGCGGCGGUCUCAAAAACCGUUGGGGGCAACUCCGUAAGGGUUCAACUCCCUUCUUCGGCA